GAAAUGCGAUAAGUAAUGUGAAUUGCAGAAUUCAGUGAAUCAUCGAAUCUUUGAACGCACAUUGCGCCCGCCAGUAUUCUGGCGGGCAUGCCUGUUCGAGCGUCAUUUCAACCAUCAAGCCCCCGGCUUGUGUUGGGGACCUGCGGCUGCCCGCAGGCCCUGAAAAACAGUGGCGGGCUCGCUGUCACACCGAGCGUAGUAGCAUACAUUCUCGCUCAGGGCGUGCUACGGGUUCCGGCCGUUAAACGACCUUCAUAACCCAAGGUUGACCUCGGAUCAGGUAGGAAGACCCGCUGAACUUAAGC
rnacentral:misc_RNA from 1 species